rnacentral:rRNA from 1 species
UACGUAGGGACCGAGCGUUGUCCGGAUUCAUUGGGCGUAAAGAGCUCGUAGGCGGCUGCUCAAGUCGAAUGUGAAACCUCGAGGCUUAACCUCGAGCCUGCAUUCGAUACUGGGCGGCUAGAGUCUGGUAGGGGGAUCUGGAAUUCCUGGUGUAGCGGUGGAAUGCGCAGAUAUCAGGAGGAACACCGGUGGCGAAGGCGGGUCUCUGGGCAGUAACUGACGCUGAGGAGCGAAAGCGUGGGGAGCGAACAGG